rnacentral:rRNA from 1 species
CCUACGGGUGGCAGCAGUGGGGAAUAUUGGACAAUGGGCGCAAGCCUGAUCCAGCAAUGCCGCGUGUGUGAAGAAGGCCUGCGGGUUGUAAAGCACUUUAAGCAGGAAAGAAGGGCGGAGCGAUAAUACCGUUUCGCAUUGACGUUACCUGCAGAAUAAGCACCGGCUAACUCCGUGCCAGCAGCCGCGGUAAUACGGAGGGUGCUUACGUUAAUCGGAAUUAGUGGGGGCGAAUUGCGCAGAGGGUCGUGAAAGCCCUGGGCUUAACCUGGGAACUGCGGUGGAUACUGUCGGGCUAGAGUGUGGUAGAGGGGAGUGGAAUUUCCGGUGUAGCAGUGAAAUGCGUAGAGAUCGGAAGGAACACCAGUGGCGAAGGCGGCUCCCUGGACCAACACUGACGCUGAGGUGCGAAAGCGUGGGGAGCAAACAGGAUUAGAUACCCUAGUAGUC